rnacentral:rRNA from 1 species
UACGAAGGGGGCUAGCGUUGCUCGGAAUCACUGGGCGUAAAGCGCACGUAGGCGGAUUGCUAAGUCAGGGGUGAAAUCCUGGAGCUCAACUCCAGAACUGCCCUUGAUACUGGCGGUCUCGAGUCCGGGAGAGGUGAGUGGAACUGCGAGUGUAGAGGUGAAAUUCGUAGAUAUUAGCUAGAACACCAGUGGCGAAGGCGGCCAACUGGUCCGGUACUGACGCUGAGGUGCGAAAAGCGUGGGGGAGCAAACAGG